GGGAGUGGACGGAUCCUGGUGGAUCUCCUGGCCUUCAAAGCCAGCUGGCGGGCAGGAAAAAGUCCGCGGUAGGUUCGAUUCCUACCCACUCCC
rnacentral:tRNA from 1 species